rnacentral:rRNA from 1 species
AUUGAACGCUGGCGGCAGGCCUAACACAUGCAAGUCGAACGAGUGGCGGAAGGGUGCGUAAUGUCUGGGAAACUGCCUGAUGGAGGGGGCUAACUACUGGAAACGGUAGCUAAUACCGCAUACCAUCAGCUGUGCCCAGGUGGGAUGAGCUUGUUGGUGGGGUAACGGCUCCCCAAGGCGACGUUCCCUAGCUGGUCUGAGAGGAUGACCAGCCACACUGGAACUGAGACACGGUCCAGCCUCUUACGGGAGGCAGAUGUGGGGAAGAUUGCACAGUGGGUGCAAGCCUGAGGCAGCCAUGCCGCUUGUAGGAAUAAGGCCUGCGGGUUGAAAAGUACUUUCAGCGGGGAGGCGUGACCCGCAGAAGAAGCACCGGCUAACUCCGGGCCAGCAGCCGCGUGAAUA